rnacentral:rRNA from 1 species
AUGCCGGUGGCGCAGGCGGGAGGGCAACCCGUGGCUGCGGACAGCGCCUCGUCCCGCAGGAACCGCCGCCACCAGAAGAAGUCCUCCAACGCCAACGCCGCGGCUGCCCCCGUGGUCGCUGUUCCGGCGCCGGUGCCGCCCACGCCGAUGCAGCGCCUCUUCGACACCAGCCACGAGGUCUUCGCCGGCUCCGCCCCCGGCUUCGUCCCCCCGCCCGACGCCGUCGCCCACCUCGCCGCAAUCCUCAGUGAGCAUCCCCUCCAGUGCCGUCAUGCUACGUGGGGGUCACCGGUGCUGCUACGGUGGAGCUGCAAUGCAACACCGGUGGCGGAGCUGCAACGCUGCGUGCAUGGACCUCAAGUCAUCGGCGGCGCGGCAGAGCUGCGAUGCAGCGCGUGUACUGCUGCGAUGGAGCAUGGACAGGCGGCUGCCGGUGCUGUGAUGGAGCACUGUCGGACCACCAGUGCUGCGACGGAGCAGCUCCCUUGCUGCUAUGGAGCAUCGCCGGACCACCGGUGCUGCGAUGAAGCAGCUCCCUUGCUGCUAUGGAGCAUCGCCGGACCACCGCGCUGCGAUGAAGCAGCUCCCUUGCUGCUAUGGAGCAUCGCUGAUGGCUACCUGUGCUCCGAUGUAGCACUCGGCGGCGGCUCAAGGUGCCGCAUCGCAGCGCUUGCGACGGCCACCAGUGUUGCGACAUCGAAGCAGAGAGGGGAGUGGGGGGCUGGUUCCUGGUUGUCGGGGGAGAUGUGCGUGCGUUGA